rnacentral:rRNA from 1 species
GACGAACGCUGGCGGCGUGCCUAACACAUGCAAGUCGAACGGAAAGGCCUCUUUCGGGGGGUACUCGAGUGGCGAACGGGUGAGUAACACGUGAGUAACCUGCCCUUUACUUUGGGAUAACUUCAGGAAACUGGGGCUAAUACCGGAUAGGAGCUCCUGCUGCAUGGUGGGGGUUGGAAAGUUUCGGCGGUUGGGGAUGGACUCGCGGCUUAUCAGCUUGUUGGUGGGGUAGUGGCUUACCAAGGCUUUGACGGGUAGCCGGCCUGAGAGGGUGACCGGCCACAUUGGGACUGAGAUACGGCCCAGACUCCUACGGGAGGCAGCAGUGGGGAAUAUUGCACAAUGGGUGGAAGCCUGAUGCAGCAACGCCGUGUGCGGGAUGACGGCCUUCGGGUUGUAAACCGCUUUCGCUCAUGACGAAGCUUUGUGUGACGGUAGUGGGUAAAGAAGCACCGGCUAACUACGUG